rnacentral:rRNA from 1 species
UACGUAGGGGGCAAGCGUUGUCCGGAUUUAUUGGGCGUAAAGAGCGUGUAGGCGGUUAGGUAGGUCCGUUGUGAAAACUCGAGGCUCAACCUCGAGACGCCGAUGGAAACCAUCUGACUAGAGUCCGGAAGAGGAGAGUGGAAUUCCUGGUGUAGCGGUGAAAUGCGCAGAUAUCAGGAAGAACACCCGUGGCUAAGGCGGGUCUCUGGGCAGUAACUGACGCUGAGGAGCGAAAGCGUGGGGAGCGAACAGG